rnacentral:ncRNA from 1 species
AUUUAUAAGAAUAUGAUGUUGGUUCAGAUUAAGCGCUAAAUAAGGACAUGACACAUGCGAAUCAUACGUUUAUUAUUGAUAAGAUAAUAAAUAUGUGGUGUAAACGUGAGUAAUUUUAUUAGGAAUUAAUGAACUAUAGAAUAAGCUAAAUACUUAAUAUAUUAUUAUAUAAAAAUAAUUUAUAUAAUAAAAAGGAUAUAUAUAUAAUAUAUAUUUAUCUAUAGUCAAGCCAAUAAUGGUUUAGGUAGUAGGUUUAUUAAGAGUUAAACCUAGCCAACGAUCCAUAAUCGAUAAUGAAAGUUAGAACGAUCACGUUGACUCUGAAAUAUAGUCAAUAUCUAUAAGAUACAGCAGUGAGGAAUAUUGGACAAUGAUCGAAAGAUUGAUCCAGUUACUUAUUAGGAUGAUAUAUAAAAAUAUUUUAUUUUAUUUAUAAAUAUUAAAUAUUUAUAAUAAUAAUAAUAAUAUAUAUAUAUAAAUUGAUUAAAAAUAAAAUCCAUAAAUAAUUAAAAUAAUGAUAUUAAUUACCAUAUAUAUUUUUAUAUGGAUAUAUAUAUUAAUAAUAAAAUUAAUUUAUUAUUAUUAAUAAUAUAUUUUAAUAGUCCUGACUAAUAUUUGUGCCAGCAGUCGCGGUAACACAAAGAGGGCGAGCGUUAAUCAUAAUGGUUUAAAGGAUCCGUAGAAUGAAUUAUAUAUUAUAAUUUAGAGUUAAUAAAAUUAAUUAAAGAAUUAUAAUAGUAAAGAUGAAAUAAUAAUAAUAAUUAUAAGACUAAUAUAUGUGAAAAUAUUAAUUAAAUAUUAACUGACAUUGAGGGAUUAAAACUAGAGUAGCGAAACGGAUUCGAUACCCGUGUAGUUCUAGUAGUAAACUAUGAAUACAAUUAUUUAUAAUAUAUAUUAUAUAUAAAUAAUAAAUGAAAAUGAAAGUAUUCCACCUGAAGAGUACGUUAGCAAUAAUGAAACUCAAAACAAUAGACGGUUACAGACUUAAGCAGUGGAGCAUGUUAUUUAAUUCGAUAAUCCACGACUAACCUUACCAUAUUUUGAAUAUUAUAAUAAUUAUUAUAAUUAUUAUAUUACAGGCGUUACAUUGUUGUCUUUAGUUCGUGCUGCAAAGUUUUAGAUUAAGUUCAUAAACGAACAAAACUCCAUAUAUAUAAUUUUAAUUAUAUAUAAUUUUAUAUUAUUUAUUAAUAUAAAGAAAGGAAUUAAGACAAAUCAUAAUGAUCCUUAUAAUAUGGGUAAUAGACGUGCUAUAAUAAAAUGAUAAUAAAAUUAUAUAAAAUAUAUUUAAUUAUAUUUAAUUAAUAAUAUAAAACAUUUUAAUUUUUAAUAUAUUUUUUUAUUAUAUAUUAAUAUGAAUUAUAAUCUGAAAUUCGAUUAUAUGAAAAAAGAAUUGCUAGUAAUACGUAAAUUAGUAUGUUACGGUGAAUAUUCUAACUGUUUCGCACUAAUCACUCAUCACGCGUUGAAACAUAUUAUUAUCUUAUUAUUUAUAUAAUAUUUUUUAAUAAAUAUUAAUAAUUAUUAAUUUAUAUUUAUUUAUAUCAGAAAUAAUAUGAAUUAAUGCGAAGUUGAAAUACAGUUACCGUAGGGGAACCUGCGGUGGGCUUAUAAAUAUC